rnacentral:rRNA from 1 species
UACAGAGGUGGCAAGCGUUAUUCGGAAUUAUUGGGCGUAAGGGGCGCGUAGGCGGCCUGGCAAGUGGAAGGUGAAAUCCCUCGGCUUAACCGAGGAACUGCCUCCCAAACUGCUUGGCUUGAGACCGGGAGAGGUGAGUGGAAUUCCCAGUGUAGCGGUGAAAUGCGUAGAUAUUGGGAGGAACACCAGUGGCGAAGGCGGCUCACUGGACCGGUACUGACGCUGAUGCGCGAAAGCGUGGGGAGCAAACGGG